CUAGCUUCUUCUUUGUCUUAGUUUCAUUUCCCAAAAUUAUGUAUCUGGUAAAUGAGACUAAUACAAUAAUAUUGUUGAACUUUUAGAGAAAAAUUUCAAACAAACUUUUGUACAUCAAUAUCGAUGAACAUCAAUCCUUCCCUUUGCUCAAGUGCAUCAUGCCAAACAUUGGAACAAGGGAAAUAAGAGCUCUGGUUGAGGAAAAUUGUUGAAAAUGGAUUUUAAUUCAUGACUUACUACCACAGAUACAAGAAUAUGUCAACAGAAUAUUUGAAUGGCUUGAGGGAAAUACUUAAGAUGAAAAAAGAGGUAAAGAUUAGAAAGAACUAUAUUUUGGAUAAUUAAAUUUUUGAAUGGACA
rnacentral:lncRNA from 1 species